rnacentral:rRNA from 1 species
GAUGAACGCUGGCGGCGUGCCUAAUACAUGCAAGUCGAGCGAUCAGACGAGGAGCUGGCUCCUCUGACGUUAGCGGCGGACGGGUGAGUAACACGUGGAUAACCUACCUAUAAGACUGGGAUAACUUCGGGAAACCGGAGCUAAUACCGGAUAAUAUAUUGAACCGCAUGGUUCAAUAGUGAAAGACGGUUUUGCUGUCACUUAUAGAUGGAUCCGCGCCGCAUUAGCUAGUUGGUAAGGUAACGGCUUACCAAGGCAACGAUGCGUAGCCGACCUGAGAGGGUGAUCGGCCACACUGGAACUGAGACACGGUCCAGACUCCUACGGGAGGCAGCAGUAGGGAAUCUUCCGCAAUGGGCGAAAGCCUGACGGAGCAACGCCGCGUGAGUGAUGAAGGUCUUCGGAUCGUAAAACUCUGUUAUUAGGGAAGAACAAAUGUGUAAGUAACUAUGCACGUCUUGACGGUACCUAAUCAGAAAGCCACGGCUAACUACGUG